UUUUUUUUUGUUGUUGUUGUUUUUUUGUUUUGUUUUCUUUUGUUUUGUUUUGUUUUUUUUAACGUUUCUUCCGUGAGCCCGGCCCAGGCAGAAUUUCCGCAGCCCAUUCUGGACAUUUCCACACAGUUGAAAUUAGGUCAAAGAGAAAAUCUAGAGCGGUCUGAGGGAGAAAAAAAUCCCUGGGCUGCAUCACGCAAACUGGGUUGAGGAGGACAACGCGUCCCUUGCCGUUUGCUCUGGUGAAGGCUGGUGCCUGUCACAUGUGCCUCAGACCUUUCUGCUCAGGGCAGCUGACUUCUGAGUCACCGUGGUUUAGGAGAGCGCUCUCAAACAUCAGGCUGCCUAACCACCAUCUGAUGGCUUCUUCGCACCGAGCCAGUUAGAAAUGCAAGAACAGCCGCAGGGCUGCUGGCUCUUCAUUAUUUUAAGAAAAUCUUUGCUCUGUUUUUGAUCAUGGCUGCAAAUUAACAACAGAUAUGAAAACCAAGCUGCUGUUGGAGAAUGUUGCUGGGUAUACAAAAAAA
rnacentral:sRNA from 1 species